GGCAGCUCAUCCAUACUGUCUUGAGGUGUUAAGCAGUCUUUUGGGGCAUCUGUAAUCGUUUUAGCCCUGCAUCAUCACAAAAUAAUCCCGGUUUACAACAGACAGGGGAAAGACAAUAAGAUACACCCUCUUAAAAUCUAACAGUGGAUGAUUAAUUAAAUGCCUGAUGGUAUAAUACCAAUUCUAAUUCAAUUAUAGAGAUUUUGGAAACUUCCUUUCUGGAGACCGAAAAAUUUUGUGCAGCAGGGUGAAGCUGGGCUACUGGGAGUCAAGGUGGUAGGUCUAUGCGCCGUGAAGGAUGCUUGAGGUCGCUCGGGCAGGGCUUUCUGCUUGGUGAGACAUACCCUUUGGCGAAUCUUGCCCAGCCAGAGAAGCCAGCAGGGGAAAUCUGGGGCCAUAUCCCUGGCCAGAGCAAGUACCUUUUUACUAGAAAGGAGGGAAGAAGGGACAGGACUGCGAGUGAGCACCCCUCUUUUCCUGAAUUCAGCUGGGGCGUUCCGUAUUUUCAGCCAAGGUGCGUUUUUAUUGCGCCAUCUAGCCCCUGAAAAUCUGAUAAUCCCUGGAAAGGCAGCUUCAGGACGGGGCGCUGGAAGGGCUCAGAAAUGUGUGCGCAUCUAUGAAGAGGAGUAGUAGUUCAGAAGUGAGACUAAGCUGGGGAAUAUUAGCAAGCACAAUUUGAAACUUAUCUAGUUAUUUAUUCCGCCUAUGUACAAAGCGCUUUACAGAAUACCGUAGGCAAAAAAGCAGGUCCCUGCCCGCAAGAGCUUACCAUCUAAAUUGCAACAGAAUGGAGGCUAAAGAGAGGAGAGGCAAAGACAACAGGGGAUGAUUACGCGCAAAUGCAUUUACACGUAUUGGGCUUUGUUUGGACUAAGGAGUUAAGCCAAAGGCUCCACAAAAGAGAGAUAAACAGAAUCAGCAGAAUCAAUUUUCGACCUGAUCUCCAGCAUCUCCUCCAACAUCUUGCUAUUGUGGGAAUAGACUGGAGGUGCCUCCAUGGACUUUGGAUGGUGAGAGCAGAUUCAUGUGUGUGACAGAUUCCCAUCUGCAGUCCACCUUAUCUGUGUUCAGGGCCAUGUGCCACUGUGUUCAGUGUUAUUCCAACAAUGCUGUAACUAUUCUAACUUGAGAUGUUUAAAAAUAAAACGUUGUGUUAACAUGCAAUGAAUAAUACAUUAUUUAUAAUCUUGGCUUGUUAUGGAUAUUAUCAUUUGUUAUAGUAUGUUACAUGCUAUAACAUCCUAUGUUACUUUAUUAUAUAGAAAGACCUUGGUUUUGCUUUGAAAAUAAACUGAACUCUCUGAUUCAGAUUUACCUCCCCACAAACCUAUAAACUCACCAUUAAAAAUCAACUCUAAAUUAAUUCUGCUGUGGGUGCAUUAAAAAAACUCAUUUAUUUAAAUAUUUUUGAUUGUUUGUUUUAGAGUUCUUUUCCUUCCCUUGGAUGUCUUGCAGUUAUAUGGAUCUGUCUAGGCACUAAAUGUUAGGAACAUAGGCAGCAGCCAUAUACUAAGUCAGACCAUUGGGCCAUCUAGCCCAGUACUGUGUACAAUACUGGCAGUGGCUUCUCCAAAGUUGCAGGCACAUUUUGACCUGCAUAUGCAAGACAAUGGUGGACAAGUGUCCCAAACUUGUUCUUUUAUAGAUCUUUUGCUGUUCAGACUUGCUUAGUCAUUUAGAAUUAUACAGAUUGAAAAAUGUUUUUAGGGCUAAAUCACAUGGGCUGCUAGCCUAACUAAAUUACUCCUGAGUAGUGCUAUUGAAAUUAAGUAGUCCUUUAGAGUAACUCCUGAGUAGCACUGUUUAGCUGCUUCCUGCCCCCUUCACUGCGUUCGCGGCAAUACCAGGUGAGCAGGGGACGGAGUUGCGGGCUUAGCUCAGGAAGCAGGCAUGCAGGCCUCCAUACUGGUCCCCCGUCAAAUGUUGUGGGUGGACCAACCAGAGAACAAGAACGCCUACAUAAGCAGCCAGCUCUGUUCAGUUUGUUCUCAGUUGCUCUGCGGGCAGACACUCUCCCAUCCAUCCCUUGACUCAGUGAGGGGUAUUCCGGUCGCCUUUUGGGGCCAAGUAGGAUUUUUUUUAGUGUCAGCGGAUUGGCUAUGUUUGGGGACUUUUUUUUUGCCUACUUCUCACUAACUUUGUUAAGGUUGUCACUGGGUUGUUUGGUCACUUUGCAGAUGAAGUGGGUCGGGGUAGGUUAAUUUGUAAUUAUUUAUAAUUAUUUUGCCUCGUAGUAGAGAUAAGGUUCAGACAAGUUCUGAGUCUGAGCCGAAUCAAAGCCUGGUCCUUUGCCCUUCUGUGGGCAUACCUCCUAUAAGAUUGACCAACAUAGGGGAUACUCACAUUUUAGUUCAAUUCCUCAUUGCAGGUUUGUAAUUUAUUCAAUAAAGUGGUCCUAGUUUCUUCCA